rnacentral:misc_RNA from 1 species
GAUGAAGAACGCAGCGAAAUGCGAUAAGUAGUGUGAAUUGCAGUAUUCCGUGAAUCAUCGAAUCUUUGAACGCACAUUGCGCCUCCUGGUAGUCCGGGAGGCAUGCCUGUUCGAGCGUCACCAAAUCCAACUCAAGCGGUUUUGCGCUUGGUCGUGGCGGAAGAGUCGGUCUGGUUGCCGUCUCCCCUCCGAAAAUCAACGGCGGAAAGUCACUGGCAGUCAGCGUAGUAGUAUCGUUCGCCGAACAUCCAGUGGCAUUCCUGCCGACGUACCCCCACAAUUCUCGUGAUUGACCUCGGAUCAGGUAGGGAUACCCGCUGAACUUAAGCAUAUCAAUAAGCGGAGGA